GACGAACGCUGGCGGCGCGCCUAACACAUGCCAGUCGAACGAGCGAGCGAGAGCUUGCUUUCUCGAGCGAGUGGCGAACGGGUGAGUAACGCGUGAGGAACCUGCCUCAAAGAGGGGGACAACAGUUGGAAACGACUGCUAAUACCGCAUAAGCCCACGGCUCGGCAUCGAGCAGGGGGAAAAGGAGCAAUCCGCUUUGAGAUGGCCUCGCGUCCGAUUAGCUAGUUGGUGGGGUAACGGCCCACCAAGGCGACGAUCGGUAGCCGGACUGAGAGGUUGAACGGCCACAUUGGGACUGAGACACGGCCCAGACUCCUACGGGAGGCAGCAGUGGGGAAUAUGGCACAAUGGGGGAAACCCUGAUGCAGCGACGCCGCGGGGAGGAAGAAGGUCUUCGGAUUGUAAACUCCUGUUGUUGGGGAAGAUAAGGACGGUACCCAACAAGGAAGUGACGGCUAACUACGG
rnacentral:rRNA from 1 species